rnacentral:lncRNA from 1 species
CUUGGACGACGGGUGGGUGAGGGAGGUCUGGCUCUACUGCGCGUGUGCGGCCACUCGCUGUCACGUCUAUUUAAUAGGCUGAAAAACGAAGCAGACACUUUUACUCUAACGGUGUCAAGACGUGAGGUGAGAUCUCUUACCUCGCCACUUCAGGAUGUGACGAGCGGAGCAAACUGAGAUGACAGUUCGUGACAAUCUGUAACCCGGGUUUAGGAGGUUACGGGAGGAGUGCGGGGAGUUCUUCUCCAAGAACGGAUGAAUGGAUAUCAAUGUGAAACGAUAAUCAAGGAAGUAGCGUAUGAAAUAUUUUAUAUACACUGUCCUCUACCUUUAAAUUGUGAAUUGUGACUGGAAAAUAGUGAACUGAGGGCUUCCAAAAUCACUGCAAAUCCCAACCGUCAGAUUUGGCAACGAAGCGGACUCCUGCAACCUUCGAAAUCGCGAGGAGGUAAGGGAGACGCCGCCGGAAGCGCCCGGGAUCAGCUGUAAGGACUGAGAAAGCCGUCUGCAAUAUUCCUUUCUCGUCGCGUAGCAAACAUCUGUUGCAGCUCUUACGUGAGUGUGUUGCAAAGAAUAUUAUCAUCAUUAUUAUCAUUCUUCUUGUUGCUUUAGUUAUUCGUAA